rnacentral:rRNA from 1 species
CCUACGGGUGGCAGCAGUGGGGAAUAUUGGACAAUGGGCGAAAGCCUGAUCUAGCCAUGCCGCGUGUGUGAAGAAGGCCUUCGGGUUGUAAAGCACUUUCAGUGGGGAAGAAAGCCUUGGGGCUAAUACCCUCGAGGAAGGACAUCACCCACAGAAGAAGCACCGGCUAACUCCGUGCCAGCAGCCGCGGUAAUACGGAGGGUGCGAGCGUUAAUCGGAAUUACUGGGCGUAAAGCGCGCGUAGGCGGUCUGAUAAGCCGGUUGUGAAAGCCCCGGGCUCAACCUGGGAACGGCAUCCGGAACUGUCAGGCUAGAGUGCAGGAGAGGAAGGUAGAAUUCCCGGUGUAGCGGUGAAAUGCGUAGAGAUCGGGAGGAAUACCAGUGGCGAAGGCGGCCUUCUGGACUGACACUGACGCUGAGGUGCGAAAGCGUGGGUAGCAAACAGGAUUAGAUACCCUAGUAGUC